GUGCCCAGGCAGCGGCGGCUGCAAUGGAGACCUCUGGAAGCACAGCCGACCGCCAACCCUCACACAACACCACCCUCAACCGCAGCGGCCCCCGAGCCUUAAGUACCUGGGGGGCGGGAAUUCGCGCUGACGGACGGCGCUCUCCCCCAAUGGGAAGGCGGGGCAGGCCUGGCCCGGCCGCUGAGUGGCUGCCGGUUGCCGCAGCAACGGCGCGCGGCGGCGGCGCUGAGGGGCCGCGGGCGCCAUUGCGGCCCCUCCCGGCGGGGCCGGGCAGGACCUGGAGCUCAGGGAUUCCACGGAUAAACUCGUGGAUUCCAUGGAUGCUCCCGGUUAUAAAACGGAUUUUGAAACACCAAGCGACUUAAAAUGAAGACAUCGCCAAGUUCCUGAUGAUAUCUUCAAUAAGCCCACUUCUGAGAGAAGGAAUCACUAUAAAGAAAUAUUAUAUAUUGCUA